rnacentral:tRNA from 1 species
GGGCGUUUAGCUCAGUGGCCUAAGUGCCUGCUUGGCAAACAUGAGGUCAUGAGUUCGAUCCUCAGUACCCCCA